rnacentral:rRNA from 1 species
UACGAAGGGGGCUAGCGUUGUUCGGAAUUACUGGGCGUAAAGCGCACGUAGGCGGAUCGAUCAGUCAGGGGUGAAAUCCCAGGGCUCAACCCUGGAACUGCCUUUGAUACUGUCGAUCUGGAGUAUGGAAGAGGUGAGUGGAAUUCCGAGUGUAGAGGUGAAAUUCGUAGAUAUUCGGAGGAACACCAGUGGCGAAGGCGGCUCACUGGCCCGGUACUGACGCUGAGGCGCGAAAGCGUGGGGAGCAAACAGG